UACGUAGGGUGCAAGCGUUAAUCGGAAUUACUGGGCGUAAAGCGUGCGCAGGCGGUUAUGUAAGACAGAUGUGAAAUGCCCGGGCUUAACCUGGGAACUGCAUUUGUGACUGCAUGGCUAGAGUUUGGCAGAGGGGGGUAGAAUUCCACGUGUAGCAGUGAAAUGCGUAGAUAUGUGGAGGAACACCGAUGGCGAAGGCAGCCCCCUGGGUCAAGACUGACGC
rnacentral:rRNA from 1 species